GACGAACGCUGGCGGCGUGCCUAACACAUGCAAGUCGUGCGAGAAAGUUCCUUCGGGAGCGAGUAAAGCGGCGCACGGGUGAGUAACACGUAGGUAACCUGCCCCCCAGUCUGGAACAACUAGAGGAAACUCUAGCUAAUGCCGGAUGAGACCACGAUCCCUUCGGGGGUUGCGGCCAAAGAUGGCCUCUACUUGUAAGCUAUCGCUGAGGGAUGGGCCUGCGGGCCAUUAGCUUGUUGGUGAGGUAACGGCUCACCAAGGCUGUGAUGGCUAGCUGGUCUGAGAGGAUGACCAGCCACACUGGGACUGAGACACGGCCCAGACUCCUACGGAGGCAGCAGUGGGGAAUAUUGCGCAAUGGGCGAAAGCCUGACGCAGCGACGCCGCGUGGGUGAUGAAGGC
rnacentral:rRNA from 1 species